CAGACUGUGUGCUCUUCCGAUCUGUGCAUGUAGCUUUAUAUCGUUAGUUACUUUGGUUGAACAGGGCUGACAUUAAAAGGUAGUUAUUUGGAGUAGCAGGCU